rnacentral:misc_RNA from 1 species
GGGGAUGUGUGGUGUGUGGUGUGUGGUGUGGUUGGAGAGUGUAGCCUUUGGUUUGGUACUUUGUUUCAUGACAUUUUCAAAAGCAUGUUUUUGUUAUCUGUACAAUCUAUGCCUAAUGAAUAGUUGAUAAUUAAAUAAUCUGUAGUUGUAGCAAACUUUUUCUUUAACAAUUCAGGGGCACAACACAUUUCUAGAAAGAUCGCCCUUCUUAUCUCAACCGGUUAUGUAUGCAGUUUGUGGAAAACUGCAGAAUGAAGUUAAGCUUUGAGACUGUUUAUGGAGCUUUUCUUUAUGAUAUAAAGCCUUGUUGCUGUUGAAAGUUGAUUUCAACUCUUGACAGCUUGCCUUGUUGUUGCU